rnacentral:rRNA from 1 species
AUUUGACGUUACCUACAGAAGAAGCACCGGCUAACUCCGUGCCAGCAGCCGCGGUAAUACGGAGGGGUGCGAGCGUUAAUCGGAAUUACUGGGCGUAAAGCGCAUGCAGGCGGCCUGUUAAGUCAGAUGUGAAAGACCCGGGGCGUUAACCUCGGAAUUGCAUUUGAAACUAGGCAGGCUAGAGUCUUGUAGAGGGGGGUAGGAAUUUCAGGUGUAGCGGUGAAAUGCGUAGAGAUCUGAAGGAAUACCAGUGGCGAAGGCGGCCCCCUCGGACAAAGACUGACGCUCAGAUGCGAAAGCGUGGGGAGCAAACAGGAUUAGAUACCCUGGUAG